CCCGCUGAACUUAAGCAUAUCAAUAAGCGGAGGAAAAGAAACUAACAAGGAUUCCCCUAGUAACUGCGAGUGAACCGGGAAAAGCUCAAAUUUUGAAUCUGGCAGUCCUUGAGGCUGUCCGAGUUGUAAUCUAGAGAAGCGUUUUCCGCGUUGGACCGUGUAUAAGUUUCCUGGAAAGGAACGUCAUAGAGGGUGAAAAUCCCGUCUUUGACACGGACUCCCAGGGCUAUGUGAUGCGCUCUCGACGAGUCGAGUUGUUUGGGAAUGCAGCUCAAAUAGGGUGGUAAAUUCCAUCUAAAGCUAAAUACAGGCGAGAGACCGAUAGCAAACAAGUACCGUGAGGGAAAGAUGAAAAGAACUUUGGAAAGAGAGUUAAACAGUACGUGAAAUUGCUGAAAGGGAAACGUUUGAUGUCAGUCGCGUCGGCCGGGGAUCAGUCUGGCUUUAACUAGCUAGGCGUACUUCCUGGUCGACGGGUCAGCAUCAGUUUUGACCGUCGGAAAAGGGCUUGAGGAAUGUGGCACUCUCUUUACCGGGGGUGUGUUAUAGACUCUUGUCUUGAAUACGAUGGUCGGGACUGAGGAACCGCAGCACGGCCUUUAUGGUUUUCGGGGCUUAGGCUCACGUUUAGCGUGCUUAGGAUGCUGGCAUAAUGGCCUUAAGCGACCCGUCUUGAAACACGG
rnacentral:rRNA from 1 species